rnacentral:ribozyme from 13 species
ACAAGAUGACGGACUUGUUCAUUCCAUUCUUUUCGAACUUUAUCUCUCAUUUUUUUGUUAUCUUUUUCCAUUAAUCUUUUAAUCUGGCGAUUAGGAGCAGAACGAGGAUUAUGUUCAUCAGCCCAAGCAAAAAUAGCAGUUGUCGAAUAAACAGACCAAAAAUUAUAAAACUUUUCAACUUCUUUCCAUUCCGAAUCAUUAUCCCCAAAAUCUGGAGAAGAAGAAGAAAGAGAAGAA